CUGCAGCUCAAGUGGUGACCGCUAUUAUUGGGCCUAAAACGUUCGUAGCCGGCUGAGUAAAUGCUUGGGUAAAUCGUGCCGCUUAACGGUACGAAUUCCGGGUAGACUACUCAGCUUGAGACCGGGAGAAGCUAGAGGUACUCCUGGGGUAGAGGUGAAAUUCUGUAAUCCUGGGGGGACCACCAGUGGCGAAGGCGUCUAGCUAGAACGGGUCUGACGGUGAGGGACGAAACCCUGGGGCGCAAACCGGAUUAGAUACCCGAGUAGUCC
rnacentral:rRNA from 1 species